GUCCGUUCUCGGUGUUUCGCCAAAAUUCUAGACGCAUAGCCAAGUUUCGUGAACUUUACAAUUUUCAAAUACCACUGUGAAAUAAUUCUGUUUUAUAUUCACAAGAUUGGAAUAAUUCCAGGAAUAAUUCAUGUGAAUCCGCUAGUCAUAAUUUGCUUAGGUUGCAUCAGUGUGACGAUAUCUCGUCAACAAAAGAAAGUGCAGUUGACUCAUUACUGCAAAUAUUGCAUGUUAGUCGGGAACAAAGUUUGAAAUUUUCGAUAAUCCGACUCUCGUCCCUCCGAUCUUCGUCGCGAGCAUUUAAUUCCCACAUGAACCAAAACCAAAGAAGGAUGUCACAGUACAACGCUAAAAAUUAUGCAGAAGCACCUUCCCCUACAUCCUGAGCUGAUGAAUGGGACCCUGCAUCGGGACCUAGUAAUUCCAAACCCCACAAGAAAAGUACCGGAAGACAGACUACCCAGUCCAAGACCUGGAAAGGGAAGAAAACUAAUGCCCCUGAAAAAUCAGCUCCUGAAAAGAAGAUUUCUGACCCCGUAGAGAUCACUCGCGGAAUAACCAAAGCUAAGAAGGAAAACCUUCAAGAUGAGACGCUUUGGCAGGAUGGUCCAUACGCUGCUACCUAUCCAUUAACUAGAAUCUUUCCCAACGUUGGAAUACCAGCACCACACAUCGAUGCUGGAGACCACGUCGUAGAACAAAUCGCAGGAGGAUUUGGAGUGUAUGGAGUGAACAACCACAACGCAUAAAGCUAUAAAGCACAAAACAUCACGAUGUUAGCUACUCACAUGUUCAUAGUCUUUUCUAUAAUCUUCUCGUUUUUGAUCAGUUCGAUUAUGUGAUGUUGUUCCAAACUCGCGAGGCGCCUGUGGCUCCUGUAAUCAGCAAACAUAAGAAAAAUUCGUUAUUUACAAAUCAGUAUUAGUCACUUUUAGAGAUAAAAGUAUUAAACCCAGCUUGCACUGUUGAUGGGUUAAGAUAAAUUUUAUUAUAUUUUGCGAACAAAUAUGAAAAUGACAACAGUUGAAUCAUAUCGCGAUGUUAUUUUGGGAUCAAAAGCAUGAGGAUCACGGGAUAUUGUUAGAGAUUACGUUAACGGCAUCAUCUACAAUUCGCAUUGAGUACAGAAAUGCUAGGUUAUCCCAUUCAAGGUUUGAAUUCUCACCUUCGCGAGCACUGUCCCCAUUGUCUCUUUAAUAGAAGAUCUUGUACGAAAUUCUCUUGAGUCAGGCUCUCAUGCCGAAUUUGGUUGUUGAAAUUAAGCGUACAUUUUUUUACUACUUUUACGCUGAUGAAAAUUUUGCGUCAAAUGGGAUUGUGGUGAACAAACGAGAACAGCCGGCACGCUGUUGCCAACUUAUAAGUAUAUGAUAGAGAAUUUACUUUAUUCACAUACAACGUGUUAUAUAUCUGGCCCUACGUUAUGAAUUUUUUUUUCUUCAACUGUAAUCGUGAUUGACACACACGUGCCUAUGGUAAUAUGAAAAAAUUGUAGACUUGUUUAUCUCAACUUGAACAUGCUGAUGCUACGGCGAAAUCAAAGAUCUUUUUAAUAAAGAUAGCCAUGAAUGAA